AUGCACGCUGGCGGCGUGCUUAACCCCUGCAAGUCGAACGGUGAAGCAGAGCUUGCUCUGUGGAUCAGUGGCGAACGGGUGAGUAACACGUGAGCAACCUGCCCCUGACUCUGGGAUAAGCGCUGGAAACGGCGUCUAAUACUGGAUAUGAGCUGCGACCGCAUGGUCAGCAGUUGGAAAGAUUUUUCGGUCUGGGAUGGGCUCACGGCCUAUCAGCUUGUUGGUGAGGUAAUGGCUCACCAAGGCGUCGACGGGUAGCCGGCCUGAGAGGGUGACCGGCCACACUGGGACUGAGACACGGCCCAGACUCCUACGGGAGGCAGCAGUGGGGAAUAUUGCACAAUGGGCGAAAGCCUGAUGCAGCAACGCCGCGUGAGGGAUGACGGCCUUCGGGUUGUAAACCUCUUUUAGCAGGGAAGAAGCGAAAGUGACGGUACCUGCAGAAAAAGCGCCGGCUAACUACGUG
rnacentral:rRNA from 1 species